rnacentral:rRNA from 1 species
GGCGACCGGCGCACGGGUGAGUAACGCGUAUGCAACCUACCUGUAACAGUGGGAUAGCUCCCUGAAAGGGGAAUUAACACCGCAUAAGACUCCAGAAUCGCAUGAUUCCGCGGUCAAAUAUUUAUAGGUUACAGAUGGGCAUGCGUGACAUUAGCUAGUUGGUGAGGUAACGGCUCACCAAGGCUACGAUGUCUAGGGGUUCUGAGAGGAAGGUCCCCCACACUGGUACUGAGACACGGACCAGACUCCUACGGGAGGCAGCAGUGAGGAAUAUUGGUCAAUGGACGCAAGUCUGAACCAGCCAUGUCGCGUGCAGGAUGACUGCCCUAUGGGUUGUAAACUGCUUUUGUAUGGGAAGAAAGUUAGCUACGUGUAGCUAUUUGCCGGUACCAUACGAAUAAGGAUCGGCUAACUCCGUGCCAGCAGCCGCGGUAAUACGGAGGAUUCGAGCGUUAUCCGGAUUUAUUGGGUUUAAAGGGUGCGUAGGCGGAAUGAUAAGUCAGUGGUGAAACCCUGCAGCUUAACUGUAGGCGUGCCAUUGAAACUGUUUUUCUUGAGUACAGAUGAGGUAGGCGGAAUGUGGUGUGUAGCGGUGAAAUGCAUAGAUAUACCACAGAACACCGAUUGCGAAGGCAGCUUACUAAACUGUCACUGACGCUGAUGCACGAAAGCGUGGGUAUCAAACAGGAUUAGAUACCCUGGUAGUCCACGCUGUAAACGAUGAUUACUGGUUGUUUGCGAUACAUUGCAAGUGACUGAGCGAAAGCAUUAAGUAAUCCACCUGGG